UGUUCGACAACAUUCUGUCGCAACAAACUCAAAUCUACAACUCUGUCCUAUUACGCUUGAGCAUGGAAUUCCUACUGUUGAAUUCACAGUAGAUGAAGUGAAUUCAUUCACCAAGGAGGAAGGUCUUCAACAAGCAGUUGUGAUUAAAUUCUCGUAUGGAAAACCCGAGCUUCAGGAGCUGAGAUAGAUUUUACAGAAGC
rnacentral:lncRNA from 1 species